UACGAAGGGGGCUAGCGUUGCUCGGAAUCACUGGGCGUAAAGCGCACGUAGGCGGAUUGCUAAGUCAGGGGUGAAAUCCUGGAGCUCAACUCCAGAACUGCCUUUGAUACUGGCGAUCUCAAGUUCGGGAGAGGUGAGUGGAACUGCGAGUGUAGAGGUGAAAUUCGUAGAUAUUCGCAAGAACACCAGUGGCGAAGGCGGCUCACUGGCCCGAUACUGACGCUGAGGUGCGAAAGCGUGGGGAGCAAACAGG
rnacentral:rRNA from 1 species